AAAUUUGCUGCGAUUUUUGGUUUUUCUUUAACUAUCGCUUAAAGAAAAUUAAAAGGGAAUUCGGUGAAAAACCGAAGCUGUACCCGCAACUGUAAGCUAUAUAGCCUGUAACUAAUUACUUUUUAACCACUGCGAAAGCGGGAAGGUAAGUUGCAAGACGCAAGCCAGGAGACCUGCCAAUAGUUAAUAGAUAACA
rnacentral:ncRNA from 1 species